AGUUUGAUCAUGGCUCGGAAUUGAACGCUGGCGGGAUGCUUUACACGCGCAAGUCGAACGGCAGCACGGACUUCGGUCUGGUGGCGAGUGGCGAACGGGCGAGUAAUGUAUCGGAACGUGCCACAGUAGCGGGGGAUAACUACGCAGCGUAGCUAAUGCCGCAUACGCCCUUCGGGGGAAAGCGGGGGACCUUCGGGCCUCGCGCACUAUUAGAGCGGCAAAAUAUCGGAUUAGCUAGUUGGUGGGGUAACGGCUCACCAAGGCGACGAUCCGUAGCUGGUUUGAGAGGACGACCAGCCACACUGGGACUGGACACGGCUGAACUCCUACGGGAGGCAGCGGUAGAGGAAUUUUGGACAAUGGGGAAACCCUGAUCCAGCCAUCCCGCGUGUGCGAUGAAGGCCUUCGGAGUUUGUAAAGCACUUUUGUGGAAAGAAACGGCACGGGAUAAUACCCCGUGCAACUGGCCAGGUACCGCAGAAUAAGCACCGGCUAACUACGUACCAGCAACCACGCUGUGUACGGCGGGGUACAAGCGUUAAUCGGAAUUACUGGGCGUAAAGCGUGCGCGGGCGGUUCCGGAAAGAGAAGAUGUGAAAUCCCCAGAGCUUAACAGGAACUACAUUUUUAACUACCGAGCUAGAAGUGUGUGUCAGAGGGAGGUGCGAUUCCGCGAUGGCAGUGAAAUGCGUAGAUAUGCGGAGGAACACCGAUGGCGAAGGCAGCCUCCUGGGAUAGCACUGACGCUCAUGCACAGCGUGGGAGCAAACGGGAUUAGAUACCCUGGUAGUCCACGCCCUAAACGAUGUCAACUAGCUGUUGGGGCCUUCGGGCCUUGAGUAGCGCAGCUAACGCGUGAAGUUGUUACGCCUGGAAGUACGGUCGCAAGAUUAAAACUCAAAGGAAUUGACGGGAUUCCGCACAAGCGGUGGAUGAUGUGGAUUAAUUCGAUGCAACGCAGAAAACCUUACCUACCCUUGACAUGUCUGGAAUCCCGAAGAGAUUUGGGGGUGCUCGCAAGAGGGCGGAACACAGGUGCUGCAUGGCUGUCGUCAGCUCGUGUCGUGAGAUGUUGGGUUAAGUCCGCGACAGCCUUGUCAUUAGUUGCUACGAGGCACUCUAAUGGGAUUGCCGGUGACAAAACCCGGAGGAAGGUGAGAUGACGUCAGUCCUCCAUGGCCCUUAUACGUUGAGCUUCACACGUCAUACAAUGGUCGGGACAGAGGGUCGCCAACCCGCGAGGAGUCCAAUCCCAGAAACUUGAUCGUAGUCCGGAUGCCAGUCUGCAACUCGACUGCGUGAAGUCAGAUAUUCGUAAUCGCGGAUCAGCAUGUCGCCAGGUGAAUACGUUCCCAGGUCUUGUACGCACCGCCCGUCACACCAUGGGAGUGGGUUUUGCAGAAAGUGAUUAAGCCCUAACUUAAUAAGGAGGGCGAUUACCACGGUAGGAUUCAUGACUGGGGUGAAGUCGUAACAAAGGUAG
rnacentral:rRNA from 1 species